AGUGAACGCUGGCGGUAGGCCUAACACAUGCAAGUCGAACGGCAGCACAGUAAGAGCUUGCUCUUACGGGUGGCGAGUGGCGGACGGGUGAGGAAUACAUCGGAAUCUACUUUUUCGUGGGGGAUAACGUAGGGAAACUUACGCUAAUACCGCAUACGACCUACGGGUGAAAGCAGGGGAUCUUCGGACCUUGCGCGAUUGAAUGAGCCGAUGUCGGAUUAGCUAGUUGGCGGGGUAAAGGCCCACCAAGGCGACGAUCCGUAGCUGGUCUGAGAGGAUGGACACCCACCUUGGCAGUGAGACACGGUCGAGACUCCUACGGGGGGCAGCAGUGGGGAAUAUUGGGGAAUGGGGGAGAGCCUGAUACAGCCAUACCGCGUGAGUGAAGAAGGCCUUCGGGUGGUAGAGCGCUUUUGUUGGGAGAGAAGUACAGCAGGUUUAUACGCCGCUGUUCUGACGGUACCGGAAGAAUAAGCACCGGCUAACUUCGUG
rnacentral:rRNA from 1 species